CCUACGUGGGGCAGCAGUGAGGAAUAUUGGUCACUGGACGAGAGUCUGAACCAGCCAAGCAGCGUGAAGGAUGACUGCCCUAUGGGUUGUAAACUUUUUUUAUAUGGGAAUAAAAUGUUCCACGUGUGGGAUUUUGUAUGUACCAUAUGAAUAAGGAUCGGCUAACUCCGUGCCAGUAGCCGCGGUAAUACGGAGGAUUCGAGCGUUAUCCGGAUUUAUUGGGUUUAAAGUGAGCGUAGGUGGAUCGUUAAGUUAGUUGUGAAAGUUUGCGGCUCAACCGUAAAAGUGCAGUUGAAACUGGCAGUCUUGAGUACAGUAGAGGUGAGCGGAAUUCGAGGUGUAGCGGUGAAAUGCUUAGAUAUAACGAAGAACACCGAUUGCGAAGGCAGCUCACUGGACUGCAACUGACACUGAGGCUCGAAAGUGUGGGUAUCAAACAGGAUUAGAUACCCUUGUAGUC
rnacentral:rRNA from 1 species